AUCGCUUCUCGGUCUUUUGGCUAAGAUCAAGUGUAGUAUCUGUUCUUAUCAGUUUAACAUCUGAUACGUCCUGUAUCCGAGGAUAAUAUAGUAAAGGAAUUUUUGGAACAGGGAGUUGGAAUUGCUCCAUCCGCUCCACGCAUGGUACUCCUCGACCUGGUACUGUAGUGCUUCCAGGAAUGGUGUGCUCCAU
rfam:Erinaceus europaeus unplaced genomic scaffold scaffold00161, whole genome shotgun sequence